GCGGUCACUCGACCGGCGUAUGCCCAGUUCAGCGUUUCCCCUGCUCAGAGGCCAUGAUCUUGAAAGAGUUCCCAAGCUGACAGCGCGGGUUCGAUUCCCGUCAUCCGCUCCA
rnacentral:tRNA from 1 species